rnacentral:lncRNA from 1 species
CAUUGCGGAUCAGUUGGUGUUCUUGCCAGAGGCCUAGCAGCAGCUUCCUAGCGCUACUACUUGCACCUCCCAAGGCAGCUGAGCCUCCCCACUUCUCUGGCCAGACACACUCCUACCGUGCAUCGUAGAACCACCUCUCUGACGCCAGCAGGACCUUAGUAAGAGUAAUGGAUCCUUGGUGAGGAGAUAUGGAUGCUGUCAGAGAAGGCAAAUGCCUGCAGUGGAUCGAAGAGGUUUUCAAGGAGUUCCAUUUCCAGAAUGUGGUUUCCUCCCAGAAUGAGAGUAUUUGGUCUAAGAUACAAGAAGAGUAACUCAGUGUUGUCAUCACUGAUGAGCAAGAGAUAUUUAUUACAAAGAAG